UACGGGGGGGGCAAGCGUUGUUCGGAAUUACUGGGCGGAAAGGGCUCGUAGGUGGCCAACUAAGUCAGACGUGAAAUCCCUCGGCUUAACCGGGGAACUGCGUCUGAUACUGGAUGGCUAGAGUUUGGGAGAGGGAUGCGGAAUUCCAGGUGUAGCGGUGAAAUUCGUAGAUAUUCGGCGGAACACCAGUGGCGAAGGCGACUCACUGGCCCGAUACUGACGCUGAGGCGCGAAAGCGUGGGGAGCAAACAGG
rnacentral:rRNA from 1 species